GUAACGGCGAGUGAAGCGGCAACAGCUCAAAUUUGAAAUCUGGCCCCCAGGGCCCGAGUUGUAAUUUGCAGAGGAUGCUUUUGGCGCGGUGCCUUCCGAGUUCCCUGGAACGGGACGCCAUAGAGGGUGAGAGCCCCGUCUGGUCGGACGCCUAGCCUGUGUAAAGCUCCUUCGACGAGUCGAGUAGUUUGGGAAUGCUGCUCUAAAUGGGAGGUAUAUGUCUUCUAAAGCUAAAUACCGGCCAGAGACCGAUAGCGCACAAGUAGAGUGAUCGAAAGAUGAAAAGCACUUUGAAAAGAGGGUUAAAUAGUACGUGAAAUUGUUGAAAGGGAAGCGCUUGUGACCAGACUUGGGCCCGGUGGAUCAUCCAGCGUUCUCGCUGGUGCACUCCGCCGGGUUCAGGCCAGCAUCAGUUCGCCGCGGGGGAAAACGGCUUCGGGAACGUGGCUCCUACGGGAGUGUUAUAGCCCGUUGCAUAAUACCCUGGGGCGGACUGAGGUUCGCGCUCCGCAAGGAUGCUGGCGUAAUGGUCAUCAGCGAC
rnacentral:rRNA from 1 species